CACGUAGGGGGCAAGCGUUGUCCGGAUUUAUUGGGCGUAAAGAGCUCGUAGGUGGCUGAGUAAGUCGGAUGUUAAAUCCCCAGUCUCAACCUGGGACACCACCCGAUACUGCUCUAGCUAGAGUCCGGUAGGGGAGCAUGGAAUUCCUGGUGUAGCGGUGAAAUGCGCAGAUAUCAGGAGGAACACCAGCGGCGAAGGCGGUGCUCUGGGCCGGAACUGACACUGAGGAGCGAAAGCGUGGGUAGCAAACAGG
rnacentral:rRNA from 1 species